rnacentral:rRNA from 1 species
UGAGUGAGGGCCCUCUGGGUCCAACCUCCCACCCGUGUUUAUUGUACCUUGUUGCUUCGGUGCGCCCGCCUCACGGCCGCCGGGGGGCUUCUGCCCCCGGGUCCGCGCGCACCGGAGACACUAUUGAACUCUGUCUGAAGAUUGCAGUCUGAGCAUAAACUAAAUAAGUUAAAACUUUCAACAACGGAUCUCUUGGUUCCGGCAUCGAUGAAGAACGCAGCGAAAUGCGAUAACUAAUGUGAAUUGCAGAAUUCAGUGAAUCAUCGAGUCUUUGAACGCACAUUGCGCCCCCUGGUAUUCCGGGGGGCAUGCCUGUCCGAGCGUCAUUGCUGCCCUCAAGCACGGCUUGUGUGUUGGGCUCCGUCCCCCCGGGGACGGGUCCGAAAGGCAGCGGCGGCACCGAGUCCGGUCCUCGAGCGUAUGGGGCUUUGUCACCCGCUCUGUAGGCCCGGCCGGCGCCAGCCGACAACCAAUCAUCCUUUUUUCAGGUUGACCUCGGAUCAGGUAGGGAUACCCGCUGAACUUAAGCAUAUCA